rnacentral:rRNA from 1 species
CCCUUAGAUGCUCUGGGCCGCACGCGCGCUACACUGGUCGAUGCAACGAGUUUCUUUCCUUGGCCGACAGGCCUGGGCAAUCUUUGAACAUCGAUCGUGAUCGGGAUAGAUUCUUGUAAUUUUUGAUCUUAAACGAGGAAUUCCUAGUAAACGCAAGUCAUCAGCUUGCAUUGAUUACGUCCCUGCCCUUUGUACACACCGCCCGUCGCACCUACCGAUUGAAUGGUCCGGUGAAAUCUCCGGACUGGCGUGAGUCGGAGCAAUCUGACAAACGCCGGAAAGUUGAUUAAACCUUAACAUUUAGAGGAAGGUGAAGUCGUAACA